rnacentral:rRNA from 1 species
UACGAAGGGUGCAAGCGUUACUCGGAAUUACUGGGCGUAAAGCGUGCGCAGGCGGUUAUGCAAGACAGAUGUUAAAUCCCCGGGCUCAACCUGGGAACUGCAUUUGUGACUGCAUGGCUAGAGUACGGUAGAGGGGGAUGGAAUUCCGCGUGUAGCAGUGAAAUGCGUAGAUAUGCGGAGGAACACCGAUGGCGAAGGCAAUCCCCUGGACCUGUACUGACGCUCAUGCACGAAAGCGUGGGGAGCAAACAGG